rnacentral:tRNA from 1 species
CAAAUUAGAUCUUGAUAAAGUAUUUCAUUUACAUUGAAAAGAUAUUAAAAUUAAUUAAUUAAUUUGG